UCCAACCCAAAACCAUAGAGCUUUUAGGAAG
rnacentral:piRNA from 1 species